rnacentral:rRNA from 1 species
AACGAACGCUGGCGGCGCGCUUAACACAUGCAAGUCGAACGAGAAGGCGUAGCAAUACGCUUGUACAGUGGCGAACGGGUGAGUAACACGUGGGUGACCUACCCUCGAGUGGGGAUUAACCCGCCGAAAGGCGGGCUAAUGCCGCGUACGCUUCCAGGUUUUCGGAUCUGGAAGGAAAGCCAUGCCGUGGGCAUGGCGCUCAAGGAUGGGCUCACGUCCUAUCAGCUUGUUGGUAGGGUAACGGCCUACCAAGGCAACGACGGGUAGCUGGUCUGAGAGGACGAUCAGCCACACUGGCACUGCGACACGGGCCAGACUCCUACGGGAGGCAGCAGUGAGGAAUAUUGCGCAAUGGGCGAAAGCCUGACGCAGCGACGCCGCGUGGGGGAUGAAGGUCUUCGGAUUGUAAACCCCUUUCGGGAGGGAAGAUGGGACGGGCAACCGUUCGGACGGUACCUCCAGAAGCAGCCACGGCUAACUUCGUGCCAGCAGCCGCCGUAA